rnacentral:lncRNA from 1 species
GGAAUUUUUAUUACAAAAGUAUAAAAUGUGUUUAUAGCCAAGCAUUAGUUAGUAUAAUGAUUCUAUUGUGAUAUCAUCUCAAUUAUGAAUCCUCAUCUCUUCAUUAAUUAAGAGACUGCCCCACUCCCUUCAUUUUUAUCAGCUCACUCAAGUAUCCCUCAGAUCAAAGGGAAGACCAGACCAGCCAGAAGAGUCUCUCCUUUACGAGCCUAUUAACAGUAGUAAUAGAAUUACCCAGAGUGAGGAUAAGCUCUACGAGGCCAUGGCUAGUUUAAUAACACAAGUCACUGGAUAGU